rnacentral:rRNA from 1 species
AUGAACGCUGGCGGCGUGCCUCAUCCCUGCAAGUCGCGCGAACAGACGAGGAGCUUGCUCCUCUGACGUUAGCGGCGGACGGGUGAGUAACACGUGGAUAACCUACCUAUAAGACUGGGAUAACUUCGGGAAACCGGAGCUAAUACCGGAUAAUAUAUUGAACCGCAUGGUUCAAUAGUGAAAGACGGUUUUGUUGUCACUUAUAGAUGGAUCCGCGCCGCAUUAGCUAGUUGGUAAGGUAACGGCUUACCAAGGCGACGAUGCGUAGCCGACCUGAGAGGGUGAUCGGCCACACUGGAACUGAGACACGGUCCAGACUCCUACGGGAGGCAGCAGUAGGGAAUCUUCCGCAAUGGGCGAAAGCCUGACGGAGCAACGCCGCGUGAGUGAUGAAGGUCUUCGGAUCGUAAAACUCUGUUAUUAGGGAAGAACAAAUGUGUAAGUAACUAUGCACGUCUUGACGGUACCUAAUCAGAAAGCCACGGCUAACUACGUG